UGCGGAGUCUUGUAGCCUAAUCUCUCCACACAAAUGUAAGAACAAUGAUUGUAGAAUUGCAGAACCAUAAAUCAGAACUUUAAAAACUGAAAAGGUUUCCUGAGAUUAUCUAUGACAAUGAGCUCAUUUUAUGGAUGGAAAAAUUGGAACCCAGAAAUACUAAUGAAAACAAAACCUUCACACACGCUUUCCCAAAUAACCCUCUAACUCAGAAAAGACAACCUCCCAGCUCAAAUCAAAAGGUGGUUCCAUGUGAGUUUGAACAGGCUCUGCUGGAGAAAGGACAGACACCAUUUCUGUGUUCUCAAGCUCCUGAAAAGAGCUUUUUGUAUCCAAGGGAAGCUCAUUACACUCAUCUUCCUGGUAUGUAUUUUCUCUCCUUUCCAAGUGCACAGCACCAGGACAGAAAUCACCUACGGGGUUAAGCCCUGUGAACAAGCAGAUCCAUAUCUGCUCAAACAGCGACAUCCCCACCAUUGAAAUGACUCCUGGCGGGAACAGUGCAGCGGCUGUGACCGGCUCCACAGACUUGGUUCAUUCACUCGAGAAGCAUCACUGAGCUAGAACUGUGUGAGAUACAAAGGUGUAUAAGACGCAGACCCCCUCCCUGAAGAAAUGUGCAGUGAAUGAGGAAAACAUAUCACCCAGCCUGGAAAGCUCCACACUCGGUGGAAUAAUGGGGAGACACACAGAUCUGAAUAACCAGAGUGUCUGAAAAAGCGGGCGCUCAGUCCCAGCAAGGCCAAGAUAAACUGCUGCUUCCACAGCAGGCAGAAUUUUUCUUACUAUAUUUGAAUUCGAAACCCAUGUGAACACACACAGCUGUGAGGUCCAGGAUGAGACCUGGAGAUCAAGAGACAGAAAGCCAGCCAGUAGACUCUUCCGAGCAUCUCUGUAAAGAAUAUGCUAGAAUCCAACUCAAGAGUAUCAGUAAAAGACCCAGAAUGUUCUACACAGAUACAACAUGCCUGAAAAUUCUCUUCCAGAUAGACUUGCUCAUAUCUAAAUUGAUAUACACACGAAAGGAGACUUUGUAGAAUUAUUUGUAAUAGCAGAAUAUUGGACCAUGUUAUAUGUUCAUCAACAGAGCCUAAUUAAAUACCAUGGUACGUAUUUUAGAUUUAUAUCCAUACACGGUGGUUCAAAAGAACAAAGAACAAAGUAGGUAAUGAUAUGACAUGAUUUGCAAGAUCAACUGGAGAAUAGAAACUAGCACUUUGUAGAUGGUGUUAAUAUGCAAAGACAGGAAGGAAAGAAGACUCUGUGCAUAGUGGGU